GUUGAGAUGGCCGAGUUGGUCUAAGGUGCCAGAUUAAGGUUUUGGUACGAAAAGGCGUCAGUUCAAAUCUCACCCUCAACA
rnacentral:tRNA from 1 species